GGAAGGGGUCAGGUGUCCUCAUUUUUCAGAUAAGAAAACUGAAGCUCCCAGAGGGCAGGUAAAUGUAUUCAGAGCACAGGGCAAGUAAGAGGCAAAACUUCUGCCAGCAAGUCCAGGAUUUUUUUCACCAGAGGACAUUGCUUGGUCCCCAGACCUCAGGACCCUGUGUUUUGCCUCACUCCCACCCACAGAGCUCCUGUAUCCAGGUAUCAACUCCAACUCCCACUCCUGGAGGCCGAGGCAGGAGGAUCACUUGAGCCCAGGAGUUCGAGACCAGCCUGGGCCACAUAGUGAGACCUUGUCUCCACACAAAAAUUUUAAAAAUAGCUGGGCUUGGUGGUGGCAUGUGCCUGUAGUCCUAGCUACUCGAGAGGCUGACGUUGGAGGAUCACUUUGAGCCCAGGAGGUGGAGGCUGCAGUGAGCAGUCAUCACUGUACUCCAGCCUGGUGACAGAGCGAGACCCUAUCACCGCCCCCCCGCCCCACCAAAAAAAAACUGAGUAGACAGGUGUCCUCUUGGCAUGAUAGGUCUUAAGUCCCCUCCCAGAUCUGUGACAUUUGACAGGUGUCCUAAGUCCGCUCCCAGAUCUGUGACAUUUGACAGGUGUCUUUUCCUCUGGACCUCAGUGUCCCCAUCUGAGUGAGAAAAGGCAGUGGGGAGGUGGAUCUUCCAGUCGAAGCGGUAUAGAAGCCCGUGUGAAAAGCCUUACUCCAAGGGGCUCCAAG
rnacentral:lncRNA from 1 species